AUGGAUGGGAGCUUGCUCCCUGAAGUUAGCGGCGGACGGGUGAGUAACACGUGGGCAACCUGCCUGUAAGACUGGGAUAACUUCGGGAAACCGGAGCUAAUACCGGAUACGUUCUUUCCUCGCAUGAGGAAAGAUGGAAAGACGGUUUCGGCUGUCACUUACAGAUGGGCCCGCGGCGCAUUAGCUAGUUGGUGAGGUAAUGGCUCACCAAGGCCACGAUGCGUAGCCGACCUGAGAGGGUGAUCGGCCACACUGGGACUGAGACACGGCCCAGACUCCUACGGGAGGCAGCAGUAGGGAAUCUUCCGCAAUGGACGAAAGUCUGACGGAGCAACGCCGCGUGAGCGAAGAAGGCCUUCGGGUCGUAAAGCUCUGUUGUUAGGGAAGAACAAGUGCCAGAGUAACUGCUGGCACCUUGACGGUACCUAACCAGAAAGCCACGGCUAACUACGUGCCAGCAGCCGCGGUAAUACGUAGGUGGCAAGCGUUGUCCGGAAUUAUUGGGCGUAAAGCGCGCGCAGGUGGUUCCUUAAGUCUGAUGUGAAAGCCCACGGCUCAACCGUGGAGGGUCAUUGGAAACUGGGGGACUUGAGUGCAGAAGAGGAAAGUGGAAUUCCAAGUGUAGCGGUGAAAUGCGUAGAGAUUUGGAGGAACACCAGUGGCGAAGGCGACUUUCUGGUCUGUAACUGACACUGAGGCGCGAAAGCGUGGG
rnacentral:rRNA from 1 species